GCCGGGCGUGGUGGCGCAUGCCUGUAAUCCCAGCUACUCAGGAGGCUGAGGCAGGAGAAUCUCUUGAAACUGGGAGGCAGAGGUUGCAGUGAGCUGAGAUCAUGCCACUGCACUCCAGCCUAGGCGACAGAGUGAGACUCUGUCUCAA
rnacentral:SRP_RNA from 1 species